ensembl:lncRNA
GUCUGCAAACAAGCUUCAGCUGGCAGACUCCUCCUCCUCCUCCUCCUCCUGCUGACUGCUAUACACCCUAAAAUGGGAAAACUCCGCGAGGUGAAGAAAGCACGAGAGUUAUCAUUAUGGGGAACUUUGUAAAAGAGUCCCAGAGGAUCUCAGUGACGCUGUGAUGGUGGAUGUUACUGUGCUGGGAAACUACAAAUGUCAGACUGCAUCUCUGAGAGUCUGCUGCUCUCUGACUCUGCAGUGAACACAGGGGGGCGCCUGUGAGUGCAGUGAUGAGCUCUCUCAGGCUUCAGCUUCACAUGUUUGAACUGUGGACAAAGUGAUGAGAUUUUCUGCUUCUGAGGAAGUGAAGAAGAACCUGACGGGCACUGUGGGAGGAAACAUCACUCUACCUGCACCUGUGCUGGAGAAAGGAUAUCUGUUAUAUGGAAGAAAGAAUAUUGCUCAUGUGAUUAAGGGGGGAUUUGACAUAUCAGAGGACAUUUACAAGAACAGACUUCAGUGGGACAGAAACUCUGGACUCUUUACACUCACAGAGCUGCAGAGGAACGACUCAGGGAGUUAUACUGUCGACUCUAAAACAGGAAA